GACGAACGCUGGCGGCGUGCUUAACACAUGCAAGUCGAGCGAUGAAGCCGGAGCUUGCUCUGGUGAAUUAGUGGCGAACGGGUGAGUAACACGUGAGUAACCUGCCCUUGACUCUGGGAUAACUGCGGGAAACUGUAGCUAAUACCGGAUACGACCCUCGGAGGCAUCUCCUGGGGGUGGAAAGAAUUUCGGUCAAGGAUGGACUCGCGGCCUAUCAGCUAGUUGGUGAGGUAAAGGCUCACCAAGGCGACGACGGGUAGCCGGCCUGAGAGGGGGACCGGCCACAAUGGGACUGAGAGACGGCCCAGACGCCUACGGGAGGAAGCAGUGGUGAAUAUUGCACAAUGGGCGCAAGCCUGAUGCAGCAACGCCGCGUGAGGGAUGACGGCCUUCGGGUUGUAAACCUCUUUUAGCAGGGAAGAAGCGAAAGUGACGGUACCUGCAGAAAAAGCACCGGCUAACUACGUGCCAGCCGCCGCCGUAA
rnacentral:rRNA from 1 species